rnacentral:tRNA from 1 species
CCUUUUAUGGUGUAAAGCACGAAGGGUUUUCAUCCCUUAGGUGCCUUUUGUGGCUGAGAGGU